rnacentral:rRNA from 1 species
AGUGAACGCUGGCGGUAGGCCUAACACAUGCAAGUCGAACGGCAGCACAGUAAGAGCUUGCUCUUACGGGUGGCGAGUGGCGGACGGGUGAGGAAUACAUCGGAAUCUACUUUUUCGUGGGGGAUAACGUAGGGAAACUUACGCUAAUGCCGCAUACGACCUACGGGUGAAAGCAGGGGAUCUUCGGACCUUGCGCGAUUGAAUGAGCCGAUGUCGGAUUAGCUAGUUGGCGGGGUAAAGGCCCACCAAGGCGACGAUCCGUAGCUGGUCUGAGAGGAUGAUCAGCCACACUGGAACUGAGACACGGUCCAGACUCCUAUGGGAGGCAGCAGUGGGGAAUAUUGGACAAUGGGCGCAAGCCUGAUCCAGCCAUACCGCGUGGGUGAAGAAGGCCUUCGGGUUGUAAAGCCCUUUUGUUGGGAAAGAAAAGCAGCAGGUUAAUACCCCGCUGUUCUGACGGUACCCAAAGAAUAAGCACCGGCUAACUUCGUG